rnacentral:lncRNA from 1 species
CCUAACCCAUGCCUACCCCUAGAUGGAGGAGUUGCAGAUUGAUGCUAGUUCUCACUUCGCCCCUGCUGGCUCCGAUUGUGCCUGUGAUCCUGAAUUAUGUUUUGGGCUUUUUUUUUUUAAUUAGGCUGGCCCAAAUGGUUAAAAAACCAUAUUUUUACCACAGACUCGGGCAGAGGUCCAGUUCCAUUCCACUCUCCAGACUUCUCACAUCACUCCCAACUUCACACUUCGCAGGCAAUUUCAGAAUCCAAUUCCUUCCGGUGAGCAACGAGCAUGAACGGUGUGCUGAAGCUAGAAGACCCCACUACCGCAAGGUGGAAGCUCGCAACCGCAACUCCCAACUGGUACAAUUGUGAAUUUGUAUCUGUGAAUCACUAUCAAUUUAUCAUUUCAAUUUCAAUUUCAAUUUUCAAGUAUGACGUUAAAUUGGGGCAUGUUUAUCGUUUAUGUUUAAUUAUUGGUGUUUUUUGAGUAAUUUGUUGUGCUCUCUCUCUCUCUCUCUCUGCCUAAUUUGGUACUAAUUUUUAGGGUUUUGAUUUUUGAAUUGCUUGCUUACAGCUUACUUGCUGUUUGGGGAUUUUGUUUAAAUUGGUUUUAUUGUGAUGUUUUCAGUUGGGCAAUUUAGAGAUUUGCGGUAUUUUUAGGUUUUAUUUGUAAAUAGUCCCAUUCUUUAGACUUUUAAGUUUUGAUUUAAGUUUUUAUGAAUUGUCUUAUUGUGAUUAAAGUUGGGCAAUUUAGAGAUCUGUGAUAUUUUUAGGUUUUAUCUGUAAAUAGUCCCGUCCUUUUGAGUUCUGAUUUAAGUUUUUAUGAAUUGGUUUUAUUGUGAUUAAGUUUAUAUGAAGUGUUUAUGGCUUUCAAUAAAUUGUGGAAACUGGAAAGUAAAUAAGUAAUGCUGUAAUGGGAGAAGUUCGAUAAGGAAAGGUGGGGCUUUUAAUAAAUGGUGGAAAGUUGGAAAGUUUUUAUGAUGGUUGAUAAAUGGUUGAAU